rnacentral:lncRNA from 1 species
CUUCCGGAGGCUCAGUCACCAUAGAGCGGUGGUUUCUCUGCGCAGAGAAGCUAGAAUUUAGACAAGUCACUUCCGGCUUUCUAUGCGCAUGCGUCUUACUGCCUGGAGGCUCAAACACCAUCGAAGUUGGCGGACUCGAAGCGCAGAGCAGUUGUACGCAAAUUACCGAUGCGCUGAGCCAAUCGGUGGCCGCGCGGAGGUAACUGGGAGUGAAACCGGCCAGUUUCUGGGUUCACUCGGGCACGCGGAGGGGUGUAGGUGUGAGAGGUAGCGCGGAACUAAUGGGGAACAUGAGUAAGAACUGCUGGCAGCUUAGGGAAUUCUCGCCGUACCUGCGGAGUGACCACGUUUUGCUCCACGAGUUAAUUUCAGGCAGUACUGUCAUGACUGAUUAUUUACCAUCAAAAGACGCAGGCUUUUUUGAGGCUGAAUCCCCAAUACCUCAAAAUGCUUUUUAUUGGAGUGUGGAAGAAAUGUGA